rnacentral:tRNA from 1 species
GGAUAAGGCGUCUGACUUCGAAUCAGAAGAUUGCAGGUUCGAAUCCUGUCGCGGACG